rnacentral:misc_RNA from 1 species
GAUGAAGAACGUAGCGAAAUGCGAUACUUGGUGUGAAUUGCAGAAUCCCGUGAACCAUCGAGUCUUUGAACGCAAGUUGCGCCCGAAGCCAUUAGGCCGAGGGCACGCCUGCCUGGGCGUCACACGUCGUUGCCCCCCAUCUACUCCUUCGGGAUUGCGGGGGGCGGAUGAUGGCCUCCCGUGCGCCUCGUCGCGCGGUUGGCAUAAAUGCCAAGUCCUCGGCGACGCACGCCACGACAAUCGGUGGUUGCGAAACCUCGGUUGCCCGUCGUGUGCGGUCGUCGCGCAUCGAGGGCUCGAAAAAAUUGCCGGGCUCCGGCUCGGCUUUCAACGCGACCCCAGGUCAGGCGGGGUUACCCGCUGAGUUUAAGCAUAUCAAUAAGCGGAGGA